GACGAACGCUGGCGGCGUGCUUAACACAUGCAAGUCGAACGAUGAAGCCGGAGCUUGCUCUGGUGAAUUAGUGGCGAACGGGUGAGUAACACGUGAGUAACCUGCCCUUGACUCUGGGGUAACUGCGGGAAACCGUAGCUAAUACCGGAUACGACCCUCGGAGGCAUCUCCUGGGGGUGUAAAGAAUUUCGGUCAAGGAUGGACUCGCGGCCUAUCAGCUAGUUGGUGAGGGAAAGGCUCACCAAGGCGACGACGGGUAGCCGGCCUGAGAGGGGGACCGGGCACACUGGGACUGAGACACGGCCCAGACUCCUACGGGAGGCAGCAGUGGGGAAUAUUGCACAAUGGGCGCAAGCCUGAUGCAGCAACGCCGCGUGAGGGAUGACGGCCUUCGGGUUGUAAACCUCUUUUAGCAGGGAAGAAGCGAAAGUGACGGUACCUGCAGAAAGAGCACCGGCUAACUACGUGCCAGCAGCCGCUGUAA
rnacentral:rRNA from 1 species